AAAUGGUUCCGGGUCGAACACUGGGCUCCUGACCCAGUUGCUGAAGGUUCUGAUCCUUUUUU
rnacentral:tRNA from 1 species